AGGUAGCUAUUCCUCUUCUCUGGCCCAUCUCAAUGCCUUGGCAUGAGGUAGCUAUUCCUCUUCUCUGGCCCAUCUCAAUGCCUUGGCAUGAGGUAGCUAUUCCUCUUCUCUGGCCCAUCUCAAUGCCUUGGCAUGAGGUAGCUAUUCCUCUUCUCUGGCCCAUCUCAAUGCCUUGGCAUGAGGUAGCUAUUCCUCUUCUCUGGCCCAUCUCAAUGCCUUGGCAUGAGGUAGCUAUUCCUCUUCUCUGGCCCAUCUCAAUGCCUUGGCAUGAGGUAGCUAUUCCUCUUCUCUGGCCCAUCUCAAUGCCUUGGCAUGAGGUAGCUAUUCCUCUUCUCUGGCCCAUCUCAAUGCCUUGGCAUGAG